rnacentral:rRNA from 1 species
UACGGAGGAUGCAAGCGUUGUUCGGAGUUACUGGGCGUAAAGGGUGUGUAGGCGGUUGCUUAAGUUUGGUGUGAAAUCUCCCGGCUCAACUGGGAGGGUGCGCCGAAUACUGAGUGACUCGAGUGCGGGAGAGGAGAGUGGAAUUCCUGGUGUAGCGGUGAAAUGCGUAGAUAUCAGGAGGAACACCGGUGGUGUAGACGGCUCUCUGGACCGUAACUGACGCUGAGACACGAAAGCGUGGGUAGCAAACAGG